UACGUAGGGAGCAAGCGUUGUCCGGAAUCAUUGGGCGUAAAGAGCGCGUAGGCGGUCCGGUAAGUCGGUUGUGAAAACUGGGGGCUCAACCCUCAGAGGCCGACCGAUACUGCCUGGCUAGAGUCCGGAAGAGGCGAGUGGAAUUCCUGGUGUAGCGGUGGAAUGCGCAGAUAUCAGGAGGAACACCGAUGGCGAAGGCAGCUCGCUGGGACGGUACUGACGCUGAGGCGCGAAAGCGUGGGGAGCGAACAGG
rnacentral:rRNA from 1 species